GCUCCGUUCGCUCUCACGGGACACACGCAGGUGUGCAAGGACAAUGCAAGUGCACGCACACGUGUGCAGACACGUAGUGGAAGCAUCCACUCGCUCAUACCUGUAAGACACACACACACACACAAACAUAUGCACACAUACAGAGUUGGUUGAGGAUGCUGUAACACAGUACACCCCCUAAUGCACACACACACACACACACACACACACACACACGCACACACAGGUGAUCAAGGGCACCCAGGGGAGAAUCUUCCAUACCCCCAAGGACCCCUAACAAGAUGUACAAACAUGCACCCAUAAAAGUAAUCGGGACCCUGGGCACAACUCCCUCUCUCCUUCCCCAUCUACCAGGACAUGGAGUCACACUCCUAGGCAUGUGUGGACAGGCUGCCUACACACGGGCAGGACAUGUAUAUGCUCAACUGUACAAGGACACUGCGGGCACACUCUGCGCACACAUAUUCUCAGGUCACAUAAACACAGCACUCUGUAACCUGGAGUCAGUCCCUCACUUGGUCAGUGAGUGGGCUGAAGCACCCACUGGGACAGGGUGGCUGAGAACCAGGACAGGGCCUGGUCAGGAGGGAUUGAGGGCAGGACCUGGGAAGUGAGUGAUGCAAUGAGGUUGGGCAGUACCAUCCCCCACCCAACCACCCACUGCAGGCCUCCCACAUCAUCGGGUCACUAAACAAAUCCCAGAGGGCCCAGCCCCAGCUGUUGCCUGGCUUUCCAGAAAGAACUCAGUUGGGAAUCGCUGCUGCUUGGACAGGUCUGUCCCCAGAAAGCCCUGGGCAUGGAUGGAGUCCUGUCUACCCUCUGGUUUCCACUGACACAUUUACCUACCAACAUUCUGUCCAAGUCUCCUCUUCUGAGCCCUCACCAGAAUCACCCUUAAUGGAGAGUCACAGGGAGAAGACGUCCACUCGCGCAUGAGAAGACAGGCCUGGAACAGAGCCUUCCUGCACAGCCUCAGAAGGGACCCACCUUGCUGACACCUUGAUCUUGGACUCGUGGCCUCCAGUACUGUGAGACAGUAACAUUCUGUUGUUGAAGGUGCCCAGUCUGUGGUACUGUAAAACAGCCCUAGGAAACUAACACAGCCUGUUAGCCCACAGAUGGUGGAGAGAUGGAAUGCUCCGUGGAGCUCCAGGCUUACUGUCUACAGCCCCCAAAGUGUGCUCCGGGACCCUUGGGUGGAUGUAGGUAUGCAAGGUAAUUUGGGGUGGUUCAAGGUGAAGAAUUUCAAUUGACAUAAUAAUGUAUUUAUCUUGCUGGGUAAAUGGGGGAUCCCCAACUGUUAGGAACCAGGCUACACAGCAGGAGGUGAGCGGCCAGCCAGUGAGCAAAGCUUCAUCUGUAGAAACAGCCACUUCCCAUCCCUUGCAUUACCACGUGAGCUCUGCCUCCUCUCAGAUGAGCGGUGCCAUUAUCUCAUAGGAGCGUGAACUCUACUGUGAACUGCGCAUGCCAGUGAUCUAGAUUGCGUGCUCCUUAUGAGAACCUAAUGCCGGAUGAUCUGUGACUGUCUCCCAUCACCCCCAGAUGGAACCAUGUAGUUGCAGGAAAACUGCUCAGGCCUCCCACUGAUUCCACAUUAUGGCUGGAGUACAAUGGUGAAAUCUCGGCUCUCUGCAGCUUCCGCCUUCCGGGUUCAAGCAAUUCUCCUGCCUUCGCCUCCCGAGUAGCUGGGAUUACAGGCAUGUGCCACCAUGCCCCGGUAAUUUUGUAUUUUUAAUAAAGAUGGGGUUUCUCGAUGUUGGUCAGGCUGGUCUCGAACUCCCGAUCUCAGGUGAUCCGCCCGCCUCAGCCUUCUAAAGUGCCGGGAUUACAGGCGUGAGUCACCACGCCCAGCCGGGAAUGCAUGCUUUUAGGAGAAACGAAGACAACUCAGGCCCCUCAUUCUCCUGGUGUUUGCACAAGUGCCUUCUCCACAGACCAUGCUUCAGUCUCUUUCUUAGUUCUCCUUCUUACUGAAAGAGAGAAGCAGAGCCCCAUCAUGUACCCAGCUGCUUGGGGCCCAAGCCAAGUGUGCAAGCUUCCUGGGGAGCCUAGUGAGUGGAAGGCACUGCAGACCUUCCCCAAAGAAGCAUCAGUUUUUGAUGGAUCCUUGAGCCCAGGAAGGCAAUAGACAAGACAUCAUGGUUCACCAGAAGAGACAACAAAAAUGCGUUCUCUCUCCCUCCUCAUCUCGCUGCAUGCCACUGUUCACGCUCCUGGGGCUCCACGUGGACAGGUGGACAUGGGACUCCUAGGCUAAUUUUCACGGCACAAGCACAGGGCUGCAGGACCUUGGUCCCCCACCUCCCAGCACCCUCAAAAUGAGAGGUGUGGGGUGUGCCCGUGCUCUCCUGGGUGGGCGUCCCACGCUCCAGGAAGCAGAAACUGCAGGACAAAGCUGGCGCAAGUGACAUGCCCGCGUGGCUGCCGGCUUCCAUCUUGGGAUCUGCUGAGGCCAAAGCAGAGGACACCUGCCCCGGACCGACCCUGCACCAGGGUGGGGGCCUGUGUGGCUGCUGGAGAGGCCGGGCUCCUUUCCGCACCCUGAGGCUGCCCGAUAUGCUUUCUGGAUCCUGGAGAAAACUGACCCACUAUUCUCAUACCGGUGCAACUUCUUCCAAUACCUCAAAACUGGA